rnacentral:rRNA from 1 species
GACAGAGGAUGCAAGCGUUAUCCGGAAUGAUUGGGCGUAAAGCGUCUGUAGGUGGCUUUUAAGUCCGCCGUCAAAUCCCAGGGCUCAACCCUGGACAGGCGGUGGAAACUACCAAGCUGGAAUACGGUAGGGCAGAGGGAAUUUCCGGUGGAGCGGUGAAAGUGCGGUAGAGAUCGGAAAGAACACCAACGGCGAAAGCACUCUGCUGGGCCGACACUGACACUGAGAGCACGAAAGCUAGGGGAGCGAAUGGG